rnacentral:rRNA from 1 species
UACGUAGGGGGCAAGCGUUGUCCGGAAUCAUUGGGCGUAAAGAGCGCGUAGGCGGCCCAGUAAGUCCGCUCUGAAAGUCAGGGGCUCAACCCCUGAAUGCGGGUGGAUACUGCUGGGCUAGAGUCCGGAAGAGGCGAGUGGAAUUCCUGGUGUAGCGGUGAAAUGCGCAGAUAUCAGGAGGAACACCGGUGGCGAAGGCGGAUCUCUGGGCCAUUACUGACGCUGAGGAGCGAAAGCGUGGGGAGCGAACAGG